GACGAACGCUGGCGGCGUGCCUAAUACAUGCAAGUAGGACGCAGUUGCGAACGGGUGAGUAACGCGUAGGUAACUAGCUAUUAGAGGGGGAUAAGUAUUGGAAACGAUAGCUACUACCGCAUGCUAGUAGAUGGAUCGGCGGUGGAUUAGCUAGUAGGUAGGGUAAUGGCCUAAGCAGGCAACGAUACAUAGCCGAGCUGGGAGGGAGAUCGGCCAAACUGGGACCGGGGAACGGCCCAGACUUCUACGGGAGGCAGCCGGAGGGAAACAUCGGCAAUGGGGGGAACCCUGACCGAGCCACGCCGCGUGAGGGAAGGAGGUUUUCGGAACGUAAAGCUCUGUUGAUAAGGAAGCGGUACUUAAACAGAAAGGGCCGGCUAACUACGUGCCAGCCGCCGCGGUAAUUC
rnacentral:rRNA from 1 species